CCAUCUGUAUCACCAGAUGAACCUACGAGCCUGAAUAAAGUAGCGGCUCUGACAAUGUAACGAAGAGCAAUUCAACAACUGCUCGGGAUCGAAAUCGUGAGAGGUUGAUCCUCCUGAUAACCACAAAUCGGGUGAGUGC
rnacentral:ncRNA from 1 species